rnacentral:rRNA from 1 species
UACGAACUGUGCGAACGUUAUUCGGAAUCACUGGGCUUACAGGGUGCGUAGGCGGCUUGUUAAGUAGGGUGUGAAAGCCCCCGGCUCAACCGGGGAAUUGCGCCCUAAACUGGCGAGCUGGAGUGAGAUAGGGGUGUGUGGAACUUCCGGUGGAGCGGUGAAAUGUGUUGAUAUCGGAAGGAACGCCGGUGGCGAAAGCGACACACUGGAUCUUGUCUGACGCUGAGGCACGAAAGCCAGGGGAGCGAACAGG